AUCCGUCUCCUCUGAAAGCUAACUCCAAAAGAAGCUUACGAGGCUUUGUACAAUAUCUAUAGACGUAAAGUACACUCCGGCGCCUCUUAGAAUCUUUCUGGUCAGACAUGAGACGAAAAUGUG